UACGAAGGGGGCUAGCGUUGUUCGGAAUUACUGGGCGUAAAGCGCACGUAGGCGGUACUAUUAAGUCAGGGGUGAAAUCCCGGGGCUCCAACCCCGGAACUGGCCUUUGAUACUGGCAAUCUCGAGUCCGGGAGAGGUGAGUGGGAACUGCGAGUGUAGAGGUGAAAUUCGUAGAUAUUCGCAAGAACACCAGUGGCGAAGGCGGCUCACUGGCCCGGUACUGACGCUGAGGUGCGAAAGCGAGGGGAGCAACAGGGAG
rnacentral:rRNA from 1 species